UAAAGCGGACGUACCACCUUGAGAAAGCCCAAUCUCGUCAGAUCUUGGAACUAAACAUGAUUGGGCCUGGUUAGUACUCAGAUGGGGGUGGCAGUGGCUGUAGUGCGUGCUGCUGUUG
rnacentral:rRNA from 1 species